rnacentral:rRNA from 1 species
AGUCGAACGCGAAAGCUCCCUUCGGGGAGCAAGUAGAGUGGCGCACGGGUGAGUAACACGUAGGUAAUCUACCUUUGGAUGGGGAAUAACAACCGGAAACGGUUGCUAAUACCGCAUAAUGCAGCGGCACCUAAUGGUGACAGUUGUUAAAGCGGGGGAUCGCAAGACCUCGCGUCUGAAGAGGAGCCUGCGGCAGAUUAGCUAGUUGGUAAGGUAAUGGCUUACCAAGGCGAUGAUCUGUAGCCGGCCUGAGAGGGCGGUCGGCCACACUGACACUGACAUACGGGUCAGACUCCUACGGGAGGCAGCAGUCGGGAAUUUUGGGCAAUGGGCGAAAGCCUGACCCAGCAACGCCGCGUGAAGGAUGAAAUCCUUCGGGAUGUAAACUUCGCAAGAACGGGAAGAAUAAGUAAGAGUUAAUAUCUCUUACGAUGACGGUACUGUUUGUAAGCUCCGGCUAACUCCGUGCCAGCAGCCGCGGUAAUACGGGGGGAGCAAGCGUUGUUCGGAUUUACUGGGCGUAAAGGGCGCGUAGGCGGCCACCGCAAGUCGACUGUGAAAUCUCCGGGCUUAACCCGGAAAGGUCAGCCGAUACUGCGGGGCUAGAGUGCAGAAGGGGCAACUGGAAUUCUCGGUGUAGCGGUGAAAUGCGUAGAUAUCGAGAGGAACACCUGCGGCGAAGGCGGGUUGCUGGGCUGACACUGACGCUGAUGCGCGAAAGCUAGGGGAGCGAACGGGAUUAGAUACCCCGGUAGUCCUAGCCUUAAACGAUGAAUGCUUGGUGUCUGGGGUUUUAUAGUCCCC